GAUUAAGAACGUAGCGAAAUGCGAUACUUGGUGUGAAUUGCAGAAUCCCGUGAACCAUCGAGUCUUUGAACGCAAGUUGCGCCCGAAGCCAUCAGGUUGAGGGCACGUCUGCCUGGGCGUCACAUAUCGUUGCCCAAUGCCUAUUGCAGUGCAAUAGGAAUUUCUAGGGCGAAUGAUGGCUUCCCGUGAGCGUUGUUGCCUCGCGGUUGGUUGAAAAUCGAGUCCUUGGUAGGGUGUGCCAUGGUAGAUGGUGGUCGAGUUAGAACGAUACCGAUCAUGUGCAUGCUCCCCAAAAUAUGGCCUCUAUGACCCACACGCGUCUUUUGACGCUCAUGACGAGACCUCAGGUCAGGCGGGGCUACCCGCUGAAUUUAAGCAUAUCAAUAAGCGGAGGA
rnacentral:misc_RNA from 1 species